AGAGUUUGAUCAUGGCUCAGGAUGAACGCUGGCGGUCUGCUUAACACAUGCAAGUCGAACGGGAGGAGCAAUCCUCUAGUGGCGGACGGGUGAGUAACGCGUGAGAAUCUGCCUUCAGGUCGGGGACAACAGCUGGAAACGGCUGCUAAGACCCGAUGUGCUUAACGGUGAAAGAUUUAUCGCCUGAAGAUGAGCUCGCGUCCGAUUAGCUAGUUGGUAGGGUAAGAGCCUACCAAGGCGUCGAUCGGUAACUGGUCUGAGAGGACGACCAGUCACACUGGGACUGAGACACGGCCCAGACUCCUACGGGAGGCAGCAGUGGGGAAUUUUCCGCAAUGGGCGAAAGCCUGACGGAGCAAGACCGCGUGAGGGACGAAGGCUCUUGGGUUGUAAACCUCUUUUCUCAGGGAAGAAACCUGACGGUACCUGAGGAAUCAGCAUCGGCUAACUCCGUGCCAGCAGCCGCGGCAAGACGGAGGAUGCAAGCGUUAUACGGAAUGACUGAGCGUAAUGCGUUCGCAGGUG
rnacentral:rRNA from 1 species